rnacentral:ncRNA from 2 species
UUUGCGGGGGAUCGUACUGGUGCCUGGCCGGGAGGCUCAUCAAAACAGCUUCUUAUGUCAGGCCAAAAGGGAAUGCGAUAGGGCUCACCCCCGAAGCGCAGCCGCCCCCGCGACCGUGACCGGAGAGGGAUGCGAUGCCACUGGCGCAAGCUGGGAAGGCUGCACCCCGGAGGGUUUGCCCAAACCCCUAUCCGCAAGCCGGGAGACCUGCCAGCACGGAUGUUUCACG